UAGCAGAGGUCUCAAGCGUUGUUCGGAUUCAUUGGGCGUAAAGGGUGCGUAGGUGGCGCUGUAAGUCGGGUGUGAAAUUUCGGAGCUUAACUCCGAAACUGCAUUCGAUACUGGCAGGCUUGAAUCCGGGAGAGGGAUGCGGAAUUCCAGGUGUAGCGGUGAAAUGCGUAGAUAUCUGGAGGAACACCGGUGGCGAAGGCGGCAUCCUGGACCCGGUAUUGACGCUGAGGCGCGAAAAGCCAGGGGAGGCAAACGGG
rnacentral:rRNA from 1 species